rnacentral:snRNA from 1 species
AUCGCUUCUCGGCCUUUUGGCUAAGAUCAAGUGUAGUAUCUGUGUGUCAUAGCUUCACAGUCUUGAGGCUUACAUUUGAUGACAGGUUUACUGACUAAAACAGGUGAAGAUUGCGAAAUUGCUUAAAUCAUAACAAUGUAUAACAAUAUAUUGUAGACUCAGAUUGCAUCU